rnacentral:rRNA from 1 species
CCCUUAGAUGUUCUGAACCGCACGCGUGUUACACUGAUGCAUUCAACGAGCUUUACCUUGGCCGAGAGGCCUGGGAAAUCUUUUUAGCAUGCAUCGUGAUAGGGAUUGAUUAUUGCAAUUAUUAAUCAUGAACGAGGAAUUCCUAGUAAACGCAUUUCAUCAAAAUGCAUUGAUUACGUCCCUGCCCUUUGUACACAUCGCCCGUCGCACCUACCGAUUGAGUGGUCCGGUGAAGUCUCGAGAUUGUGGCAAUCUCCUUUAUUGGAGUUUGACUGCGAGAACUUGCCUAAACCUUAUCACUUAGAGGAAGGUGAAGUCGUAACA